AUGGCUCAGAAUGAACGCUGGCGGCAUGGCUAAGACAUGCAAGUCGAACGGACUAUGUUGAAGAGUAAUCCGAUUCAUAGUUAGUGGCGAAAGGGUGAGGAAUAGACAGGUAACGUACCUUUGGCUUCGGAAUAGCCCAUCGAAAGGUGGGGUAAUGCCGGAUGAUGUCAUCCGUGUAAUGCGGGUGACCAAAGAUUUAUCGGCCGAAGAGCGGCCUGUUUCCUAUCAGCUUGUUGGUGAGGUAAUGGCUCACCAAGGCGACGACGGGUAGCGGGACUGAGAGGUUGGCCCGCCACAUCGGGACUGAGACACUGCCCGGACCCCCACGGAGGGCUGCAGUAACGAAUAUUGGGCAAUGGGCGAAAGCCUGACCCAGCAAUGCCGCGUGUAGGAUGAAGCUUUUCGGAGUGUAAACUACUUUCAGGGAUUAGAAAGCUACGGUUGAUCAAUCCCAGAAGAAGUCACGGCUAACUUCGUGCCAGCAGCCGCGGUAAUACGAAGGUGGCAAGCGUUAUUCGAAAUCACUGGGCUUAAAGGGUGCGUAGGCGGAACUGUAAGUGUCUUGUGAAAUCCCUCGGCUUAACCGAGGAAUGGCUUGGCAAACUACAGUUCUUGAGGCAAGUAGGGGUGUGUGGAACUCUUGGUGGAGCGGUGGAAUGCGUAGAUAUCAAGAGGAACGCCGAAGGUGAAGACAGCACACUGGACUUGUACUGACGCUGAGGCACGAAAGCGUGGGGAGCAAACAGGAUUAGAUACCCUGGUAGUCC
rnacentral:rRNA from 1 species